UAUGUUUUUUACCUUAUCUAAUGCUCUUAAGGAAAAAAUAAUAAUUAAAUGGCAGGUAAUGUUUCAAAGAAAUAAAAAACUUGCAUUAAUUAAAAAAACUACAGAUAGUCGUAGAGACGGUUCUUCCACUCUGCUUCAAAUUUAAGAAUAUAAACCCAAAAAGAUUCACUUGGCCACACCUCAUAUAAAUUUCAGUUAACAUACUAUCUAAAGUUUGUCCAAGUGAAUCUACUAAAAUUAAUAAUGCUUCCCAAUCAUGUAGUAUAAUUUUAUCUAUAACAUCUAUUAGUGCAUCUCGAAUAAGCUGAUAAUUUGCAAUAUGUAGAUCUAAUGCAGGCGUAAUGUAACGGGAUGAGUAUUUUUUGCAGCUAACCCAUGCGGCACUUAGACAACUUGCCAAAGGUUGCUAAGUAAGCCUAGAGCUUCUCGAACUAGAGAAGAAAGCAAUGGAGCCAAAUAAGGAACUUGUAUUGCACUAAGAGAGAAUUACAAUGCUUGAGUUGCUUGUUGUAGUGUUUUGUUC
rnacentral:lncRNA from 1 species